rnacentral:lncRNA from 1 species
UAAGCCUCCAUGUCUCACUCAGGAGCUCUGGCUUCAACGCUCUAGUGGAAAGAGGCGUGCUGGGCCGAGGAAGGCCCAGCCUUGUGCCGGGGCAUGAGUGCAGGAGGCUGUGCAUCCUCUCACAAUGCUUCCAGGUCAGAACAUCAUUGCCAGGUCAGAAAAGAAACUCUUGAUUUCUGUGAGGUGAGGACAAACAUCACUUGUCUGGAGGGCCCCUUCAUUCCUACUGGAUCUUGUGGGUACCAUCUGUGGGGCUGCUGAGCCCCGUGUCCUGCUGCUUCUGUCUCUCCACUCCGACGGGCGUUGGGGUGGUCACAACGAGGUCACUGUGGGCCAAGUUUUUUCUGCCUUGCUCCAAGCUUUACCAGCAGCCUCACAUCCAGCCCAGCAUUGAGAGCCCCAAUCCUGUGCCCUCUAGCUGCUCCCUCACAGAUUACUACUCUUUGGCACGAAGAUAAAAGCCCAAGAAGUCAGGUGCCAUUCCGGGAUGCUGCUGGGGUGUGCACAAGGAUGAGGAGCUGCGUCUGUGUGUGGGUGUGCUUACAGGGACACUGAGCGUUCACGUAUGUACAAGCGGUCACCUAGGCGUCUGCGCCAUGGGGCUGUGGUGUGCUCAUGGGUUUGGUUACCAUGCACAUUUGUUUACACAUAGAAGAUUAGAUAUGGGGUCUGGAACCUGGGUUGUAGCUACAUUUUUUUCUUAUCAGCUUCAUAAUCUUUGGCGAGAUCCUUAGUCUCUUCCUCUGUGAAACAGAGAACAGAACUGUUUCCCAGAGGUGAGCGGUGAG